GACGAACGCUGGCGGCGUGCUUAACACAUGCAAGUCGAACGGAAAGGCCCUGCUUUUGUGGGGUGCUCGAGUGGCGAACGGGUGAGUAACACGUGAGUAACCUGCCCUUGACUUUGGGAUAACUUCAGGAAACUGGGGCUAAUCCCGGAUCGGAGCUCCUGCUGCAUGGUGGGGGUUGGAACGUUUCUGCGGUUGGGGAUGGACUCGCGGCUUAUCAGCUUGUUGGUGGGGUAGUGGCUUACCAAGGCUUUGCCCGGUAGCCGGCCUGAGAGGGUGACCGGCCACAUUGGGACUGAGAUACGGCCCAGACUCCUACAGGGGGCAGCAGUGGGGAAUAUUGCACAAUGGGCGGAAGCCUGAUGCAGCAACGCCGCGUGCGGGAUGACGGCCUUCGGGUUGUAAACCGCUUUCGCCUGUGACGAAGCGUGAGUGACGGUAAUGGGUAAAGAAGCACCGGCUAACUACGUG
rnacentral:rRNA from 1 species